UACAGAGGUCCCAAGCGUUGUUCGGAUUCAUUGGGCGUAAAGGGUGCGUAGGCGGCGCGGUAAGUCGGGUGUGAAAUCUCGGGGCUUAACCCCGAAACUGCAUUCGAUACUGCCGUGCUUGAGGACUGGAGAGGAGACUGGAAUUUACGGUGUAGCGGUGAAAUGCGUAGAUAUCGUAAGGAAGACCAGUGGCGAAGGCGGGUCUCUGGACAGUUCCUGACACUGAGGCACGAAGGCCAGGGGAGCAAACGGG
rnacentral:rRNA from 1 species